rnacentral:rRNA from 1 species
GAUCCUGGCUCAGGAUGAACGCUAGCGGCAGGCUUAACACAUGCAAGUCGAGGGGCAGCAUGAGGAGUCAGCAAUGACACCUUGAUGGCGACCGGCGCAAGGGUGCGUAACGCGUGAGCAACCUGCCCGUCACGGGGGGAUAACCGGUGGAAACGCCGACUAAUAUCCCAUGGUUUCCGUUGGGGGCAUCCCCGGCGGAAUAAAGGCUUCGGCCGGUGACGGAUGGGCUCGCGUAACAUUAGGCAG